UACAUGUGGGGCAAGCGUUGUUCGGAAUUACUGGGCAUAAAGGGUGCGUAGGCGGCUUGUUAAGUCACUGGUGAAAGUUUUCGGCCCAACCGGAAAAUUGCCUGUGAUACUGGCGAGCUUGAGUGCGUGAGGGGUGGGGGGAACGAGCAGUGUAGCGGUGAAAUGCAUAGAUAUGUCACAGAACACCAAUUGCGAAGGCAGCUUACUAAGCUAUGAUUGACGCUGAGGCACGAAAGCGUGGGGAUCAAACAGG
rnacentral:rRNA from 1 species